rnacentral:rRNA from 1 species
AGUUUUUCAGUAGUUUAGUUAUGAUGUUAGGGUUAAGUCCCGUAACCGAGCGCAACUCCUUGUCCUUAGGUACCAGCACGUUAUGGUGGGCACUCUAAGGAGACUGCCGGUGACAAACCGGAGGAAGGUGGGGAUGACGUCAAGUCAUCAUGGCCCUUACGGCCUGGGCUACACACGUGCUACAAUGGUCGGUACAGAGGGUUGCCAAGCCGCGAGGUGGAGCUAA